GUCACUGAGAUGGUCCGCCACUGCUUCU
rnacentral:sRNA from 1 species